rnacentral:rRNA from 1 species
CAACACAUACCGUGAGGGAAGAUGAAAAGAACUUUGAAAAGAGAGUUAAACAGUACGUGAAAUUGUUGAAAGGGAAACGAUUGAAGUCAGUCGUACCUACGAGAAAUCAGCUCUUCGAGUGCGAUCUUGUGGGCUUUGAAGAGUCUUUAACCGGCCUGGCUGUUUGGAUUGUUAUCCCUUGGGGGACUUCUUCUUGGGGUGGGUCGCCAUCGGUUUUGUUUGUCAUCAAAGGAUGGGAGGAAGGAAGCUUCCUACAUAA